rnacentral:rRNA from 1 species
GUAGGUGAACCUGCGGAAGGAUCAUUAACGCAAUCUAAACCUACUCAACCAAGCCAACCUGUUGCGGAGCGCAAGCGACGCAGCUAAACAAACUAACCAAAUGAAGCUUAACCAAGCCAUAUAACAAAAACCAAUCCUCAACGAUGGAUAUCUAGGUUCCUACGACGAUGAAGAACGCAGCGAAGUGCGAUAAGCAAUGCGAAUUGCAGAGCCGAGAGUCAUCAGAUUUUUGAACGCAACUGGCACCUGAGGUCACUCCUCAGGUAUGCUUCCUUCAGUGUGUGAUUAUCUCAUCACCCAAACCUUAAUGCGAUAGAUGCCCUUCUAUUGCUAAACACGAAAGCACUCUGUUCUCUGCAGCGGAAGUCUUCGGACCGACGCACUCAAUGCAGUAGUCACAUUCUCAAGUGUGAACUCAUUGAGCGUAGAGUCAGCGCAUGUUUCAUGCCAGUGCUUGGAUACUCAAAUUUUCUCAGCACCUGAGGUGAAGUAGGACCACCCGCUGAACUUAAGCAUAUCAGUA